rnacentral:rRNA from 13 species
UUGGCUCCAGAAUCGAUGAAGAAUGGAGUGGAAUGGUUAUGAUGGGCGUGAGUGAUCGGCGGAGCACUGCACUUGGACGCGAAAAGCGGCA